CAGUUCCAAAUCUAUUUUUAAAUUGAAACAUUAAAAUUAUUAAUAUUAAUAUAUAUGUAUUAAAAGUUAGAUACAGAGCCUUUUAAUGUCUUCAGAACAGCACCCUACAGCAUUAUCAGGCCCAAUCUGUGUUACAUCUAUAAAUCCAGAUGAAAUCCAGUUUUAGAUCCAUAUAUUUAGAAUUGCAUUCUCCUGGCUAUGCAAAACACCACAUAAUAUGGUCUUGUAUAUUUAAAAAGCAAAAACAAGAAAUGUGUUACACAUGCAAAGUAUGUGUUCUAUGUGCAAGCUAUGAUUCUGUAGGCUUUAGCCUACAAAACCUUAAAAGGCUAUGGUCCAACUUACCUCUCCGAACGUAUCUCCUCCUAUGAGCCGUCCCACAGAUUAAGAUCUUCGAGUGAGACCCUGCUCUCGGUCCCACUGCCAUCAUAGGUGGUUGACAGGGAUGAGAGACAGGGCUUUUUCGGUCGUAGCUCCGUAGCUGUGGAACUCCUUGCCAAGGGAGAUUAGGGAAGCCCCCUCACUCAUGUCUUUUAAGAAGCAGCUGAAGACCUGGAUGUGGGCCCAAGCUUUUGUCCCAUUCUAGGAUAUGGGUUGAUAUGACCUGAUGUAUUCGUUAGAUUAAUGUGAAGUUCAAUUCAAUUCAAUUAAAAUUGAGAUUAAUGUGAAGUUGAACAUGGACUGGAUCCAGCCAUUCAUUUUUAUUGAAUUUCUCAGAAACUCUCAUCCUAUCCAAGUUCUAUCUCGGGCUGUAGUCUUAUUACAAGGAACACUAUGCUCAAUUCUUGGAAUAUUUAUAAACUGAAACAUAUCCUGAGGAAAACAACUGAGAUGACCAAUGGGCUGGAAACCAAGUUCUAUGAGGAGCUGAACCUGUUCACUCUGGAGAAGAGAGAAAAUGGAGAGGUCAGAAAGGAGGAGGAAGAACAACACUCAUUCCUUCAUAGUCUUCAGCAUGCGGGAUUGGAGCAAGAUGCUCCUGAUACCAAUUCUUGGAAGGGCAGAUCUUCCAAAUGACUUUGGUUUCAAACUGACAAAUGGCAGCACUUGAAGGAGACUCCACCCACUUUUGAUGUCAUGGGGAAUCCCCAGCCCACAGGAGCCGAAAUUGAAACUGAGCCGGUUUCUGACCAAUCAGAGGAGGGCAUGGCAACAUUGAAUGGCUGUCAAAAGGAAUAAAAUAUCUUCUACUGUAUUGAAUGCUUUAUAUCCAAUUUGUUGAGCACAAACUCUAUAUCAGACAUCCUUUCAGGCCUGAAAGCAAUAAGCUAUGUUAUCUUCAAACCCAGCUUGGAUUUUAAUAUGGUCUUCAAGGUAGUGAAGUGCACCAGGCACCAGACUCUCAGCCUGCUCCUUUAGCUGAAUCUCUGUCUCAAUACCAAGCAUACUGUGCAGUCAAGACAGAAAACAAUGUUUGCCAAUCAUCCUCUCUACAAACUACCUGACAUUAUUCACACCACUUCAACUGUUAUGGUUCAAUGCUAUGGAAAAAUAGCAUUCUGCCAGAGUGCUGGUGACUCAGUAAACUACAGAUCCCAGGAUUCCAUAGCAUUGAGCCUCUGCAGUUAGCGUGGUAUCAAACCACACUAAUUCUACAGUGUAGCUGCAUCCUUAGAUUACAUACCCAAAGAUGCGGCAGCUUAAAAAGCCAAUGGGAUUUUGUCCUGCAUCAAUUAAAGCAGGUAAAUCUAGUGAAAGAAAAAGAGAGAGCUGCAGGAGAUGAUGAUGAUAAUAAUAAUAAUAAUAAUAAUAAUAAUAAUAAUAAUAAUAAUAAUAAUUUUAUUUUUGUAUGCCACCUCCAUCUCCCCAACGGGGACUCGGAGCGGCUCACAUGGGGGCAAGCCCAAUACAAUCAUAUAAUUUCAUAAAAACAACAGUUAAGACAUCAAAGAAUGCAUUUAAAAAAACAAAUUAACAAGUCAUUAUUUGAAAUGGACAUAAUUAAAAUAAUGACGAUAUAGUUCUUUUGGCAUCACAAAUGAUGUCAUCAGUGUUUGCAAUUCAUUGAAGCACCAGCAUUCUUUGGCAGAGAAGGCCAAGGACCUUGUAAAACUACAACUUUUGACAUUAAGCCAUUUCAGUGAAAGUUGCAUCAAAUUGCAUUAAUUCUACAGUGUAGAUGCACUCAUAGUCAUGGUAGAGAUAGGGCAUUUGGCUUUUCCCCAUUAAUGUUUACUGUCCCGAUCUGUAAAUCAGUCCAAAUUACUUCAAAUUAUUCUAUUCCCCAACAUCUAUAUAAAGACCUAUAGAAAUAUAGACAUGGUGAAAUUAAAAUAAAGGGAUUUAAAAUGAAGAAUGGAUUUUAUGAAGUUGUAGAAAUUUUAAUGAUUGUAUUUAAUGUACGCAAUAGUUAGAUAAUGCAUUUUUAUCUAUCAUAUGGCACUUACUAGUUUACUACACUUCUUCCCCAUAACUGAUCAUUUAUUACUAUAGAAAAUUACUAAUAAUGUUCCAUUUUGUAAUUAGGCUAUUAUAGAUUGCCAGCUAGUGAGCACUUGAAAUGGUCAUCAUGAAGCUGUACAGUUAAAA
ensembl:lncRNA